CAACCUACCACCAAAAGUGACACUCGCAGGUCCAAUCCUGCUGUCAAAUAAAUUUAAAAAAUCAUGUCACCCAUCAUUGAUGUCAUACAGAUCAAUCAGAGGGGGACUUGGUAGACUUUCCUGCCCCCUCCCCCGGCCUAUUGUCAAGCGCCCCAUGGAAUGUUCUUGCAGUCACACAAUCAAAGGAAAAUGAUUCUCGGACUUGAAGACUAGGAGUUACUGGCCACAUAUUCCAUGCCUUGGCUGCUCUGCACUUGUCAUGGAUCUGCGACACCGUAGACAGUUCGGUGUCUUCCAAACCUCUAGAUCAAGUAAUAUAUUUGCUGCUCUGAGAAUGGUUCCACUACGAGCUCAGCCACAGGAAUUGAUGAAAAGCGAUUGCUACGUCAUUUCCUCUUACAAGUCAAGCAGGGAAGAAGUGAUGGACACCCCCUUUGUCAAAACGGG
rnacentral:lncRNA from 7 species